AAGUCCAACAUGUGCGCGAGUCAUUGGGUCUUACGAAACCUAAAGGCGAAAUGAAAGUGAAGGCGCAGUUCGUGCCGAGGUGAGAUCCCCGUCCGCCGCGUCUGGGGCGCAUCACCGGCCCGUCUCUUGUGGCGGAGCUAGAGCGCACACGUUGGGACCCGAAAGAUGGUGAACUAUGCCUGAGCAGGACGAAGCCAGAGGAAACUCUGGUGGAAGUCCGUAGCGAUUCUGACGUGCAAAUCGAUCGUCAAACUUGGGUAUAGGGGCGAAAGACUAAUCGAACCAUCUAGUAGCUGGUUCCCUCCGAAGUUUCCCUCAGGAUAGCUGGCGCUCGUCACAACAGUUUUAUCCGGUAAAGCGAAUGAUUAGAGGCCUUGGGGGCGAAAUGCCUUCACCCUAUUCUCAAACUUUAAAUGGGUAAGGUGCUUGACUCGCUUGAUUUGGAGUCUCGACUGGAAUGUGAGUGCCAAGUGGGCCACUUUUGGUAAGCAGAACUGGCGCUGUGGGAUGAACCAAACGUCCGGUUAAGGCGCCUAACACAGACGCUGAUGAGAAACCAUAAAAGGUGUUGGUCGAUAUAGACAGCAGGACGGUGGCCAUGGAAGUCGGAAUCCGCUAAGGAGUGUGUAACAACUCACCUGCC
rnacentral:rRNA from 1 species